rnacentral:rRNA from 1 species
CCUACGGGAGGCUGCAGUGAGGAAUAUUGGUCAAUGGACGCGAGUCUGAACCAGCCAAGUCGCGUGAGGGAUGACUGCCCUAUGGGUUGUAAACUUCUUUUAUACAGGAAUAAUACGAGUCACGUGUACCUUUUUGCAUGUACUUUAUGAAUAAGCAUCGGCUAACUCCGUGCCAGCAGCCGCGGUAAUACGGAGGAUGCGAGCGUUAUCCGGAUUUAUUGGGUUUAAAGGGAGCGUAGAUGGGUUGUUAAGUCAGUUGUGAAAGUUUGCGGCUCAACCGUAAAAUUGCAAUUGAUACUGGCAGUCUUGAGUACAGUUGAGGUAGGCGGAAUACGUGGUGUAGCGGUGAAAUGCUUAGAUAUCACGAAGAACCCCGAUUGCGAAGGCAGCUUACCAAACUGUGACUGACACUGAUGCUCGAAAGUGUGGGUAGCAAACAGGAUUAGAUACCCCAGUAGUC